CUGCUACUUUCUCAUCUAUAGUUUUCAUUUAACUGCUUGUAAAUACCCUCUAAAGACAUUUGAUCUUCCUGGCUGCCUACAAUUUCUGACUAUCUGGUUAAUGUCCUCCUCUAUCUUGUGUAGAGAUCUUUUUUUAAAAUCAAUCAGACUUUGCAUAUAUUUUUAUAACAUUCUUCACUCGCUAAAUUCCACUCAUCCAUGAGUUCUCUAUUUCCCAAGCCAAAUUGAUUAGAACAUUGCCUCCAUACCUAAGGGGUUAACUUCUAAAUGGCAGAGAAUUGAGCAGUGAGACAUGAUUUCUACACCAAAACUGCUUCAUUAAACUGAAGUUGUUUUUGGUGACUCUAGUGUUCCUUUAAGGAAUACUUGUGUAGACAUUUUGGAGAAAUGGUGGUCUGAUU